rnacentral:rRNA from 1 species
UACGAAGGGGGCUAGCGUUGCUCGGAAUCACUGGGCGUAAAGCGCACGUAGGCGGAUUGCUAAGUCAGGGGUGAAAUCCUGGAGCUCAACUCCAGAACUGCCCUUGAUACUGGCGGUCUCGAGUCCGGGGAGAGGUGAGUGGAACUGCGAGUGUAGAGGUGAAAUUCGUAGAUAUUCGCAAGAACACCAGUGGCGAAGGCGGCUCACUGGCCCGGUACUGACGCUGAGG